AGUGAACGCUGGCGGUAGGCCUAACACAUGCAAGUCGAACGGCAGCACAGUAAGAGCUUGCUCUUACGGGUGGCGAGUGGCGGACGGGUGAGGAAUACAUCGGAAUCUACUUUUUCGUGGGGGAUAACGUAGGGAAACUUACGCUAAUACCGCAUACGACCUACGGGUGAAAGCAGGGGAUCUUCGGACCUUGCGCGAUUGAAUGAGCCGAUGUCGGAUUAGCUAGUUGGCGGGGUAAAGGCCCACCAAGGCGACGAUCCGUAGCUGGUCUGAGAGGAUGAUCAGCCACACUGGAACUGAGACACGGUCCCGACUCCUACGGGAGGCAGCAGUGGGGAAUAUUGGACAAUGGGCGCAAGCCUGAUCCAGCCAUACCGCGUGGGUGAAGAAGGCCUUCGGGUUGUAAAGCCCUUUUGUUGGGAAAGAAAAGCAGCAGGUUAAUACCCCGCUGUUCUGACGGUACCCAAAGAAUAAGCACCGGCUAACUUCGU
rnacentral:rRNA from 1 species